AGUGAACGCUGGCGGUAGGCCUAACACAUGCAAGUCGAACGGCAGCACAGUAAGAGCUUGCUCUUACGGGUGGCGAGUGGCGGACGGGUGAGGAAUACAUCGGAAUCUACUUUUUCGUGGGGGAUAACGUAGGGAAACUUACGCUAAUACCGCAUACGACCUACGGGUGAAAGCAGGGGAUCUUCGGACCUUGCGCGAUUGAAUGAGCCGAUGUCGGAUUAGCUAGUUGGCGGGGUAAAGGCCCACCAAGGCGACGAUCCGUAGCUGGUCUGAGAGGAUGAUCAGGCAAACUGGAAAUGAGAAACGGUCCAGAAUCCUAAGGGAGGCAGCAGUGGGGAAUAUUGGACAAUGGGCGCAAGCCUGAACCAGCCAUAACGCGGGGGUGAAGAAGGCCUUCGGGUUGGAAAGGCCUUUUGGUGGGAAAGAAAAGCAGCAGGUUAAAACCCCGCUGUUCUGAAGGUACCCAAAGAAUAAGCACCGGCUAACUUCGUG
rnacentral:rRNA from 1 species